GACGAACGCUGGCGGCGUGCUUAACACAUGCAAGUCGAACGGAAAGGCCCUGCUUUUGUGGGGUGCUCGAGUGGCGAACGGGUGAGUAACACGUGAGUAACCUGCCCUUGACUUUGGGAUAACUUCAGGAAACUGGGGCUAAUACCGGAUAGGAGCUCCUGCUGCAUGGUGGGGGUUGGAAAGUUUCGGCGGUUGGGGAUGGACUCGCGGCUUAUCAGCUUGUUGGUGGGGUAGUGGCUUACCAAGGCUUUGACGGGUAGCCGGCCUGAGAGGGUGACCGGCCACAUUGGGACUGAGAUACGGCCCAGACUCCUACGGGAGGCAGCAGUGGGGAAUAUUGCACAAUGGGCGGAAGCCUGGUGCAGCAACGCCGCGUGCGGGAUGACGGCCUUCGGGUUGUAAACCGCUUUCGCCUGUGACGAAGCGUGAGUGACGGUAAUGGGUAAAGAAGCACCGGCUAACUACGUGCCAGCAGCCGCGGUGAUACGUAGGGUGCGAGCGUUGUCCGGAUUUAUUGGGCGUAAAGGGCUCGUAGGUGGUUGAUCGCGUCGGAAGUGUAAUCUUGGGGCUUAACCCUGAGCGUGCUUUCGAUACGGGUUGACUUGAGGAAGGUAGGGGAGAAUGGAAUUCCUGGUGGAGCGGUGGAAUGCGCGGAUAUCAGGAGGAACACCAGUGGCGAAGGCGGUUCUCUGGGCCUUUCCUGACGCUGAGGAGCGAAAGCGUGGGGAGCGAACAGGCUUAGAUACCCUGGUAGUCCACGCUGUAAACGGUGGGUACUAGGUGUGGGGUCCAUUCCACGGGUUCCGUGCCGUAGCUAACGCUUUAAGUACCCCGCCUGGGGAGUACGGCCGCAAGGCUAAAACUCAAAGGAAUUGACGGGGCCCCGCACAAGCGGCGGAGCAUGCGGAUUAAUUCGAUGCAACGCGUAGAACCUUACCUGGGUUUGACAUGGAUCGGGAGUGCUCAGAGAUGGGUGUGCCUCUUUUGGGGUCGGUUCACAGGUGGUGCAUGGCUGUCGUCAGCUCGUGUCGUGAGAUGUUGGGUUAAGUCCCGCAACGAGCGCAACCCUUGUUCACUGUUGCCAGCACGUUAUGGUGGGGACUCAGUGGAGACCGCCGGGGUCAACUCGGAGGAAGGUGGGGAUGACGUCAAGUCAUCAUGCCCCUUAUGUCCAGGGCUUCACGCAUGCUACAAUGGCUGGUACAGAGAGUGGCGAGCCUGUGAGGGUGAGCGAAUCUCGGAAAGCCGGUCUCAGUUCGGAUUGGGGUCUGCAACUCGACCUCAUGAAGUCGGAGUCGCUAGUAAUCGCAGAUCAGCAACGCUGCGGUGAAUACGUUCCCGGGGCU
rnacentral:rRNA from 1 species